rnacentral:rRNA from 1 species
UACGUAGGGACCGAGCGUUGUCCGGAUUCAUUGGGCGUAAAGAGCUCGUAGGCGCCUGCUCAAGUCGAAUGUGAAAACUCGAGGCUCAACCUCGAGCCUGCAUUCGAUACUGGGCGGCUAGAGUCUGGUAGGGGGAUCUGGAAUUCCUGGUGUAGCGGUGGAAUGCGCAGAUAUCAGGAGGAACACCGGUGGCGAAGGCGGGAUCCUGGGCCAGUACUGACGCUGAGGAGCGAAAGCGUGGGGAGCAAACAGG